rnacentral:rRNA from 1 species
AACGGCCGUACCAUGCUGAAUAUACCGGUUCUCGUUAGAUCACCGAAGUUAAGCAUCAUUGGGCGCGGUCAGUACUUGGGUGGGUGACCACCUGGGNN